ACGGCGAGAUCACGACCUGAGCAGAAGUCGGGACGCUUAAACCGACUGAGCCACCCAGGUGCCCCUGGUCAGCAAGUCUUAAAAGUGGGAUUUUAGCUCCUCUUUGGAGCUUUAGUACCUCAUUUUUGGAAACCUCUUGUUUGUUAGCUGUAAGUAACCUUGGUGACCUGUUUGGUGUCCCUGUUUCUCUCCUUGAUCUCUGGAGGGUUGGGGGUGAGGAGGCCUUCUUGCCUGCGACGAAGGUUUUGAAGUCGGAGUUGGCUGGUAGCCAUGUGGCCUCCACCUGCUGGCUCAGCACCGAGGUGGACUCUGCACCCACCCUGAGAGGCAACCCUGGGCUGCACACCUACUUCCUGUUUCCUUGACUGCCACCUGGGGCUCUGGCUGCACGUUUCAUGGAGGAGACUGGCCAGGCAGGAGUCUGCUGAGGGCCGUACCCUAUUCUCAAGACCUCCCCGGAGCUGACAUUGUCAGAGAAACCGUCUUUCCAGCAAGCACGGACUCCACUAGCCAGCAGAACCUUCUCGGGGUGAAGAAAGGAAACCGAGGACAAAGGAGCCAGUGGCUGAGGCUGCUGGGACAGUGUUCCCCGCAUAAGGCCACCUUGGAGUGUGGGCGACGCACGAGGGCAUCUGGCGGGUCACACCCUUCCACCUGUAGCAGCUUUGGCUUUGGGGAGUGGGGGGGUGGCCUCUGCACAGGGCCGACGCCACAAACGGCGGCUCACUUCCUGGUUCCAACCUCACGCAUUCGUUCCUUCGCUGAGGCUGCUUCUGCCCAGACAGACACAGGAGACCUAGGUGUCUGAGGGAGCACCCCUAUCUCCGGAGGUUCCCAGAGCGAUGGACACAGCCACAGGAGCGGGGAGCUGAGGCGGACAGAGCCGACCCUUAACCCCACCUCCCAGCAGGAACCUGAGGCCUGGAGACGUGUGACCAGCCCAGGGUCCUAUGGCAGAGCGGCACCCUGCACCCAGCCCUUUAAAAAUUCUGGGUUGGAACAGGCUCCUUCGCUAACUCCGGCCCCAGGAACGGGCACAGAAAAUGCAAGCAGCGUCCUCCUUUUCUGCCUCCAGCCUUCCCAGAUCCCCUGCGGGGAAGGCGGCUGCUUCCACACGGGGGCAAUCUCAGGACGACAGGAGCACACAGGCUUUUUUGUGCUCCUGGCGGCCAAAGAGCCCCUGUCAGCAAAGCUCCUGGGCCCUGGUGGCGCUUCCACGCGCACAGAAGCCACCACGGCCUGGAAGAAAGGGAGGGGACAAGUCCGCCAGAGUCCCACCCUGCUCAGAUACAGGAAGUUGUGAGGGCAGGGCCGGAGUCUGGGCUCUACCACCUGCCGCCGUCAGCCCUCUGGAGGACACAAGGAUUGGAAUCCAACUCCAGCUGUAUACACACCCUCGCUAGGCUCUCCCGCCAUGAGGACCCCGAAGAGCUGACAGGUCCUUGCUUACUUUUAAGGACGGGGACCCCACUUCUUCACAGGAGGAGAACAGACCAGCAAAGCCCACUCUAUGCCAAAGGCUGUUCCAGGAAUCUUCACGUAAUUUAAUUCUUUCCUUCAAUCCCUCCGACAGCCCUGAGAGGCAAGCACAUGAUAUUAGAGCUUUUUGUAUGCAGAAACCAGAAUUCAGAGAGGUUAUAUAAUUGCCCGAAUCCACACAGCUAGGAAGUGGCCGAUAAGUAGGGUAACAUGCACCUUGGUUUGCCCUGAAGAGUCCCAGUUUACAUUUGCUGUCCUGGUGUAAUUAAGACCGCUCACUUUCAUUCUGGAAAGUGCUCCAGUUUAGACCAUAAACCGUAAGGAAUCCAGGUCUGUGCUCUUUUCCCUGGACAAUCCAGCCUCCUCUCCCAACCCCGAUUUUCCAUCCAAAGCCCCGAGGGCCACCUGCCACCACCUGCUAAGACACCAGGCCCCUGGGGGAGCCUGCGGGCAUGGAGCUGCAGAAUUAUCAGCCAGCACAGCUGACCUGCGGUUUUUCUCCAGAAGCGAGAAGAGGAAGCAGAGGCCGUGCUCCAGGCCCCCUGGCUCUUCCGAAGAAACGGCGUCUCCUGCGACUUGGAGCUGCUCCGAGCCCCCGAGGCCCACCUACCCCGUGUCUCUCCUCUGAGCAGCUGCCAAAGCGGGCAGCAGCCACGGACGGGUCUCAUCCAACCUUGGGCUCCCACCCUGGCAGAGGCAUCUGGGUGAGAGACAGUGGCCUCUGGGCCCCUUGUGAGCAUAGGGUGGAGUCCUCAAGAGGCUCCGGCAGCCACUUCUCCCUCAGUGCAGCUGCCACGGCCCCCACAUGGCCUCCCAGACGGUCGGAACAAGCCAGCUGUUGGGACGCGCUCAGGGGAACCCAGCCCUGACCAGACCCCACUCGGUGCUUCAGUCCGCGGGCUCAGCCCUCUCACGGUGAGGCAAGGCCUCGACGUCUGCAGCUGCGCACUCAUUGUCCUGUUCUUUCCGCCUGCCCCCCCCCCCCACCACCACUGGCCUUCCUCAGCCAGGCCCGUGCUUCCUGCUGGCUGGAAAGAAAGGCGAGGGAACCAAACCCCACAGUGGUUGGGGUGGCUUCUGGGCCCCUGUCCUCCUGGUUGUUGGGGGAGGACAGAGGAUGGGAUAAGGGGGUAGACAGAAGUCCAAACUUGAAUCCACAGAAUGCUGGGAAGGGGAAGCAUCCCCCAGGCAGGGAUGAGGGCCUGAGGCUGGGCCUUUGGUGUCCUCACAGCCUGACUGCGUGCUUCCACCAUCCCACAGAGGGUUCGGUGGCUGUCAGUGACCAUCGGUGACUCAGAAGACCUAGACCUACUCAGGAUGCUGGAGUUCACCCCAGUGGGCCUCUGCCCCUUUGGGUCCCACACAGAGCCUGUCACACACACAGGCUGCAAGCGUCAGCCUGUCCUGGCCCCAUGUCCUCAGUCACUGCCAGGAGCCUUGAGGCCCCACAAAGGUCAGGCCCUGGCCUUUUGCCCAGCUCUGGGUCAGAGUGGUGCACGCAGGUCCCUGCCUCCCACGGGAAAACUCCCUCCAUUGGGCAGAACCCAGAGCAGUGAACCCCAAAGUAGAAGGUAGGGGGGUAGCUGCGAACCCUGACCCAGCAGACCUUCGCUGAUUUAGGAAGGGUACAAAGAACCUGCCUCAGACUGAAUCCCAGCCGGGAAGGAAGUGUGUCUGAGGAGCCGAGGCCUCUGGCUGGAGCCCUGCCCAGUCCCAGCACCUUGGGGCCUCCCCAGCGAGGGACCCGGAGCCUCUCGUGACCCUCGGGAGGCUGUAACCCAGCUAACCUCAAGUCAGAAGCGUGAGUGUCUGCGGCAGCUGUGGUUUGACAGUUAGUGCCAGAGAGAAGUCGCCCACGCGAGCCUCACUGUCUGCACGUGUGCAAGGCAAGAACGGGGACUGUGGUCCAUCUGUCACCGCCGGCUCCUCCACUCCCAGCUGAGCAGCCCUGCUCCUUCCACGCUAGGGCUCUUGAGGACUCUGCUGAACGGACACUCAGGAUCACCAACCCCCUGCUGUGGCACAUGCAGGUUAUUUCCAGCCUUCUGCAAAGCCGAGCAGUGCUGUGAGGACAUCCCUCUGCACGGCGGUGUGUGGAGAAUAAAUCUUCCAAGGGCUCUGCGAGGUCCCACAGCUGAGGCCAGAUGAGGAAGAUAAGGCCAACGAGGACAGCACGCUCGGGAGGUGAGCUCACAGGCCCACAAGGCCCUGCAGCUGGCAGGGGGCCAAGGUUCUCCGACCAGGCACGAGGCCCAAAGAACGAGCCAGCCAAGGGCUUGGCAUGAAGUAGGUGCUUAGUAAAGACUGGUUUCUUCUAUUCCUUCCUCCUUCCCUUCCAACAGCCAUCUGGGCCCCCAGUCAGGAGGUCACCUCUGGCCAGGGCUGUGGUAGGACAGACAGAGCCCCAGGCCAGGCCUGGCCUUCUCCCCCACCAGCUGAGGUGCCCCCUUCCAUUUCUUCUUCUCCUCCUCCUCGCCACCACCCCCCCCCCUCACUGCGUGCCCGCUCAGUUAUCUGGUGACUCGAGGACCCCGGGAGUCCCUCUGUUCUCCUCAGCCACCCUGGUGACAAAACAAAGGAGGAGCUCAAAAUCGGCCUUGAUUCAGUGCAUGAAGCCCGUGGCCUGGGCUUGAGUGGCCCUGCCAGGCCACCUGGGGCCGUCCACGGGCACCACACAGGGCCCCACGCCAGGCCCGGCCAAAACUGUCGCCCCAGCUGACAGCUUGCUCAGAGAAAUGACUCAGCCCGAGUGCUCAGAUGCCCUGUCCACGUUUUAUGAACUAAAGGUGUUUUCAUAACAACUGGGGGUGAUGAGCCAGCAGCAGGCCGUAAACAGAGCAAUGAUCUGGUUGAAACGCCCAGGUCCGAGCCCCCGCCCACAAGCAGGGCCUCCUAGGUUGUCAGCUUCUCCACAGCGGUGCUUCCUUCACGCCCAGGUGGGGCCACGGGCCCCUGGGCUCGUCCUGGCAAACAGCACAGACUCCCAAAAUAACGUGGAGACGCGCCCAGCCGCAUCUGUAACCCAGGAGGGAAGCGAGUGACAGAGCCAGACCCAUGGCCUAGACGCCUGCUUCUGUCCUUCCCGGAUGCCCCGGGGCCUCCUGUGGGACCGGAAGCCGUCCAUGAGCCAGGGUCCUGGGACCAGAACUCUGGGAGGCCCAGCCCUGAGCUGGAGUUCGCAGGGCAGGGAAAGUGUACCUCGCCUCCCACAAGGACAGUGCCCCUGGGGGGGUGUGACACAGGUGCCCUAGAACAGCAAAUGGUGUGAAACAA